AUUUCCUCUCCUUGUCCUUUUCUUUGCCCCGUCCCUCCCUUCCUUCCCCGUCCCUCUGCCCUGCCUCUUCCAGGAAGCCUUCCUUGACCAGCAUCCCCCAUUCCCUGCCAAGCCCUCCUUGGCCGCCCUGUGAGGACUGGCCUCCCUGCUCUGUCUCCCCCGCUCCAGUGCCAGUUCCAGCUCAGGUAGGGCCUGGACCAUGAAGAUGUUAGCCUGGUCAGGGAAGGAUCCCCACCCGCACCCCCACUGCCAGCUAGACAAGGUCUGGAAAGGGCCUGAGAGGGAGGUGAUGAGAAGGCCACCUGCCAGAGUGGCAGUAGACAGGCCAACGAAAUCCUUGACCUGUGAUUUAAGGGGUCGGGCACAGUUCAAUAGAGCACUCCAGGCUGAGUCCCAGCUCUUUCACAGGGUCAGGAGGAAGAGGGGCAGAGAGGAAGGAGACCAUCACAACCUGGCUCUCUGGAGCAUGACCUGGCACCCUGAAAACCCACACUCGCAUCUACAUCCCUGCAGGCUUUCCCCGACACGUGGCCUUAGCCUUGCAGGUCCCCACGCCCGGAUCGCCCUCUCAGGCUCCUUCACAAGACCGUCGCUCUCCCACUGCCCUUCCACAACCCCACCUGCUCAAUCCCCACUGCCUCGCCACCUUCUGCCUUUCUUCCAGGGGGUUCACCACCUUCUGCAGUUCUCUCAUUGGCCUCAUUUGUGGGUCUGGAAUUCAUACUGGCCUUGGACUCACUGUGUAGCCCAGGCUGGCCUCGAACUCAUGGUGAUCCGUCCGCCUCAGCCUCCUGAGUGCUGGGAUUAUAGGUGUGGGCCACCACGCCAGCUGGAACUCCGCUUUGAUACCUCCUGAACCACAGCCCACUGCUGUGUGGCCAUCCGGGCAGGAGACCUGGCUGUCCUCAAUCAUCACUUCCUCUGCACUUGGCCUGGCACAGAGCAGAAGUCCGUAGGUGUUUGUUGGGUGGAUUCCCGAGUGAGGGGAUGAUCUAGGGAGGAGGAAAAGAUGGAGUGAAUGCAGCAGGGACUAGAGACGCCAACAAUCUCUGAGGCUCAGUUUCUUCAUCUGUAAAAGAUGGUGAUGAGGCUCUGGCCCCCUUUCUGGCUCCAGUGUGAGUCAGCUGCGAUGGGGCAGGAACCCAGAGGCCACUCCCUGCUGUCUAGGCCUGGCUCCAGGAAUGGGUAGGAGGCGCUGAAAUGACCAGAGUUCCCCUCCCCCACCCCCCGUCCCCCAGAAUUUAUAGAUUCUUCAUUGUCCUGCACAAAGGCCUUCUUGGGAGGGGCGGGGUGGGUGAGGAGACAGGGGAAUUAAAAAGUCAGAGGGUGAGUAACAGCCAGCCACACCCAGGGCCCCAUGAAUCCGCCUGGGCCCCUGUGAGACCACUGACUUGCCCUCAGAGGCUUACAGGGCUCCUGCUGCAGGGACCAGCUCGCCCUGCUCUCAGCCCUGGUGGCAGAGGGAUGGGGGCAUGUGAAUGUGUGAGGGGUGGCUCGCCUUGUGCGAUCUCCGAUCUGACCUCUGCGAGUCCUUCCUCCCAUCUUGCUCCCUGGUGGGUGGUCAGCUGUCGUUCUAGUUCGCUGCUGUUGGUUCUGAGCAGGAAAAUGUACAGUCUGCGGGUGCCUGCUUCUCUGAUGAGAAGGUCCCGAGGCCCAGACUCCAGGAAACAGCCUCCUCCCCCACUCUGGCCCCUUGGGUAGAAUUGACAGAUGGUGCCCUGUUAACAGAUGACAUUGGAAAUCGGAAUUACUCAGCUGCUUGUCCCUCUGUCAUCCCCACGGAAGGGGGUGGCCUGCAAACUGGGAACGACAGUGAACUCUAUUUUGAGGGCUAUAGAGGACAGGGAAGGAGAUGCUCCAGGGCACAGGGGACCAGAACCAGGUACACAGAAGAUCUAACUUGGAAUCUCAUCUCUACCACGUACCAGCCAGGUGACCUAGGUGCAUCCAUCACCGUCUGAGCCUCUGCUCCCUCAUCUGUCAAAUGGGUCCAUGGGAAACUGUCCUACUCUCCUCCCUGGCUUUUAGGAAGAAAAUGGGGUGGUUUGUGCUUAUAAAAUGGGCUUUAAAACUUGUGAAGGAGUAAAAAAUGUAAGAAGUUGCUGAUUAUAAACAAUAAAUGGCAGCCC
rnacentral:lncRNA from 1 species